UAACGCGUGGAGAACCUGCCGUAUACUGGGGGAUAACACUUAGAAAUAGGUGCUAAUACCGCAUAAGCGCACAGCUUCGCAUGAAGCAGUGUGGAAAACAAAAAGCUAAAGCUUUUGGUGGUAUACGAUGGAUCCGCGUCUGAUUAGCUGGUCGGCGGGGUAAAGGCCCACCAAGGCGACGAUCAGUAGCCGGCCUGAGAGGGUGAACGGCCACAUUGGGACUGAGACACGGCCCAAACUCCUACGGAAGGCAGCAG
rnacentral:rRNA from 1 species